rnacentral:lncRNA from 1 species
CCGAGCCAACUUGUAAACCAACAUGCGGAAAAAACGAGUGGGUAUGUAGGAAGCUGGCACAAAGGGCAUCAGCAAAGGAGAUAAGACCAGGAACAAGUACACUCCAUCACAGUGAACACAGGAUUCGAAUCGUGAUGGAACCCAGCAGGUGAUAACAAGAUUAAUCUUGAAAGCCUGUGGGGUUUCUCCCAAAUCCGCUGUGUUAUGACAUACAUCAGAAUAGCAGCUCCACCUACACUAUGGGAAAUUGCACAGAGUUCGUAAGGUUGAUCACUGUCACACUGUUCCUCAAGGCCUGCUUGGCUAGUUUUCAAUUCAGAAACUUUUAUUCCAUGGAUCUUCGCUAUCAUCGCAGGUAUAUCCUCUGUCCCGUGCUCAUUUAUGGAAUACUGCCAGUAUCUACAAAAAAUAAUUUGAGAAAAAUUUAGCAAUGACAGAUAUAUACAAAACGCCAACUUGUUGACCAACAUGCGGAAAAACCGAGUGGGUAUGUAGAAAGCUGGCACAAAAGGCAUCAGCAAAGGAGAUAAGACCAGGAACAAGUACUCCAUCACAGUGAACACAGGAUUCGAAUCGUGAUGGAAACCAGCAGGUGAUAACAAGAUUAAUCUUGAAAGCCUGUGGGGUUUCUCCCAAAUCCGCUGUGUUAUGACAUACAUCAGAAUAGCAGCUCCACCCAAACUAUGGGAAAUGGCACAGAGUUCGUAAGGUUGAUCACUGUCACACUGUUCCACAAGACCUGCUUGGCUAGUUUUCAACUCAGAAACUUUUAUUUCAUGGAUCUUCGCCGUCAUCGCAGGUAUAUCCUCUGUCCCGUGCUCAUUUAUGGAAUACUGCCAGUAUCU